UCACUGAACCUUGGCCUAUCCACACAACGAAGAGAACGAGUUGGAGGAGAACAAGUAUCUCUCAGCUGCCAGACAGAGCCUAUCACUUAUCACUCAGAGUGACAUUGUAGCUGCUCGGGUUAUCUUCAUUCACGAAAAAAUGACGGACUAACAGACAUUAUCUCUGGGGAUCUCAGCUGUCAGCAGCCGCAACAGCAAAAGCAAAAGCAGCAACAUCAGAGAGAGAGAGAGAUGAUACUCGGUAUCUCAAGAGCUGUCACUAAUAUUGUUCAGUGGUCCAAUUUAAAACUUAGAAUACCCGCAAUAUAAUGAUCAUAACACUGAUGAUGAUGAUGAUGACGAUCAUUUUGUUGUCUUGUUUGGUUUGGAAGUGAGCAACGCGUCGCUCUUUGAAUGACAAUCAGACUAGGAGGUGGGCUGGGGCCUGUGUGGAAAUGAAAAUGGAAAUGGAAGUGCGCAAGUGUGAGUGAGAUCUGUGGAGAUUGCAAAAGAUAUACUUAGAAUACUGCAUAGAGUAUAGAGUAUAGAGAAGGCACAAAAAUCUUUGGCCGCAGAGCUUAAGCUUAUCAAGAGAUCCGAUUUUCAGUCUCUGUGCGAACGGCGACUGUGAAAGUUGGAAAAUCACGCGGCGCUCGAAAAUCUAGAAUCCUUGAUGAAAACUCGACUCGGUGCAAUUUGCAACUACAGCUAAAUCGAUUAUAUACCUGUGGCAAUGUGAAUAAUAUAUUCCAAGUGUGACAAAACACAAACACAGAAGAAAAAAAAACAAUAACAAAAAGAAGCAAAGCAAAAGCAACAACAAAAUUUACUGUGCGCCGUUUAUGAUCACAGA